UUUGCUCGGCGCUCGCUCGUCCUCUGCUCCACUAUAAGGGGAAUCUCUGGGAGAAGCUGAACAGGAGACUGGAGCUCUGCCACCAGUGCACAGGUUCGGCAUCGAACGGCUGAAGAUCUGUCAGAAUAUCCUGAGAUCUGAGGAACUGUUUCUGCUGGUGCGGACUGCUGGGAAUUCUGGGAGUGUUUGAAAUCAGAACUCUGGGGUGUGUGUGAAGUGGUCACUUCCUUGCCUGGUGUGGGACACUUAGAAGUGACCUCUGGGUUCUAAAGAUAAGACGAAGAGGAAACUGAGGAGUAGGACUGAAGGUGGAGAUACAGAGUCUGAGAGUCCAAGAGCAGGUGUGUUAGGAUGGUUCUCGUUAACUCUUAAAAAAAACAUCAGAAAAUCAUCACAUCACCAAACUACGCUGUGGU
rnacentral:lncRNA from 1 species